ACCUAUAGGAUUCUACAUAAUUAACCUUGUGAGGUAAUAUGUCAAAUAUUUUUAGAUGAGGACUGCAUAGAGCAUAAUUGAUCCAUUAAUUAGUUUGAUUUAUAAUUUUGUGUAGAUGGAACUUACUUGAUGUUGCCUGAUUGCUCGACGGAGCUGUCCUAUGACCGCUGGAGGAAGACAAUUCCGAAGUGCUAAUUCUGAAGUUGAUCUCGAAGUUUUGGUGGCCGGAGGAAGAUGAUUUAGAUUUUAUAACCUAAAAUCUAGAGGACAAUGAACCUAUGAGGUCUUGGGGAAGGUCUUAUAUGGAUGGCUAAGUUUCUCAUGUUUGCACGAUGGAAAGAAAGGUUUUUUGGAUU
rnacentral:lncRNA from 1 species